CUUCACCAGGUACGGAGUUUAGUUUUGUUUGUUUUUUAGCUACUUGAUGCUCUCAAUUCAAACCGAGUUAAAUGACUACAGCCUCCGGUAUGCGCACCAGAAAACCAGGGAGAAUGUGGGUGACCACCAGGGGGAGUGUGAGAGACAGAGUCAAGCUGAAUGCAGCCAGGAAGGUAACAGUGACCGACAUUUUCAGAGGCAGACCAGCCCACAUGGACCUCCAGGUGAAAAUACUGGUAUUAGGGGAAAUGCUUAAAAUUCAUGAUGUGGAAGUAUAGUACACAUGGGUCACAACUGAAUCAACAUUCUGCUCCAAUUUGAAGG